UAUAUUUAUAUAUAAAAUUGAGGAUAUAUAUUGGCCUUUGUUAGGAAAAAUUAAUGGAUCGGUAAUAUAAUUUAGUUGAAAAUGUGAAGCAAUUAAGCUUUGAACAUGGGACCUCGGGUAUCAAUCGCUAAGUUCUUUGUCACUUGCGCUAGAGACGGUCGGUGCUCUUGCUCAUGUUAGCAUACAUAGUGGUGUUACUACAACAGAAUUAGAUUACAGCAAUGCAUGUUUAGAACACUUUUGUGUAAAUGUCCUAUUUAUACUAAAACUUCAAAAAAAAUCUACUAAUACUUAAAUAUAAAGCCCAAUCCAACCAAAAAUAAAAGGUUACUCUACUCAAUCCAUCCCACCCAGCCUAUUCAACCCGAUUACAAACAGAAAAGAAAAAAAGGGAAAAAUCAAUUGACAUCUCCUUUUCUCCCCUCACUCAAUCUAUUGAAAUCCUAGACGAAGACCCCUUCUCUCUCCUUCUCCUCUGCCACCGCAGCCAACGAGGUAGAGUUCCGGCCGUUGCUAAAUGCUUAAAUAAGUGUUAGUAAAUUAGCAGCACUCUUUUUAUGUUAUAGCAACACUCUUUAACUGUCACUAUAUACUUAGCGACCCCACAUAUAGCAACACUUUUUAAAAGUAAUAGUAAUUUAGGCAGCAGCACUUUUUUCGACCUGUAGCUACAUUUAAAAGUACCGCUAUAGACCGUUUUUGUUGUAGUGUGUAGAAUUUACAUUAAUUUAUGAAUUUUACUAACACAUUAACAACUUAAA
rnacentral:lncRNA from 1 species